rnacentral:rRNA from 1 species
CCUACGGGAGGCAGCAGUAAGGAAUAUUGGUCAAUGGACGCAAGUCUGAACCAGCCAUGCCGCGUGAAGGAUGAAUGCCCUCUGGGUUGUAAACUUCUUUUAUAGGGGACGAAAAAGGGUCUUUUCAGAUCAACUGACGGUACCCUAGGAAUAAGCACCGGCUAACUCCGUGCCAGCAGCCGCGGUAAUACGGAGGGUGCAAGCGUUAUCCGGAUUUACUGGGUUUAAAGGGUGCGUAGGUGGGUUGGUAAGUCAGCGGUGAAAUCUUCGAGCUUAACUCGGAAACUGCCAUUGAUACUAUCAGCCUUGAAUAUCCUGGAGGUGAGCGGAAUAUGUCAUGUAGCGGUGAAAUGCUUAGAUAUGACAUAGAACACCAAUUGCGAAGGCAGCUCACUACGGGAUUAUUGACACUGAGGCACGAAAGCGUGGGGAUCAAACAGGAUUAGAUACCCUGGUAGUCCACGCCCUAAACGAUGGAUACUCGACAUUUGCGAUAUACAGUAAGUGUCUGAGCGAAAGCAUUAAGUAUCCCACCUGGAAGUACGAUCGCAAGAUUGAAACUCAAAGGAAUUGACGG